GUGGUUGACUAGAGAUGAUGGUUAAUAAAUGUGCUACAUC
rnacentral:sRNA from 1 species